UCAAGGUCCCUUGAUGUUCCUACGGUUAAUUUCGCGGCGCCCAUUGAACAUCAUGGUCGCCGCUCUCGAGGUCUUCCAUUAGCAGGGUCAUGUAGCAGCACAUCCCCAAGUUUGUUAUCCCUCCCAUCACCGCGCACCGCCGUUGCCCGUCGAAUCUCCCACAGGCCGCAGCAGGCACGUCUCCACUGCGCAAAGCUUAGACAUAAUUCCUUUUUUCUUCAAUUUUGCAGAAAGAUUUACUCUAGCUCCUGGGUGGCGGCGCUCAAUCUGAUGAAUCGCGGGGGAACCCCCGCUGGCUCAAGGUUUUCUAUCCAUCCACUUACCUCUCCCACUGGCGUGCACGGCGAGUGUGAUGGCAACGGCCAGUGGCCACUGGUGGCUAAAGCUGCCUUGAUGCAUGUGUUAUGGAAGAUGAAACGUGAGGCAGCGGAGAGCUGGGGAUGCUAACGUUGAUUUGCUCUACACCAUUCCUACAUCGUGGAGAUCAGCAACGAGGGCAGGAACAAGCUUUGUGUACUCGAAAGGGACUUCACUUUCCUGAAUUUCUGAAUACUUCACUGAAUUUGAUUCAGAUUAUGUGUGGCACUGACCGUAAUGCCCCUCUUUUGAAUUCAGGUGAGGUGGUCACGCUCCUCUCACGUGUAUUCAGGAUUAUUGCUAGUGUGAGGACACAAGCAGCUGGUGGUUAAGCUGGUUUGUACCAGCUGAGAGUCUGAGCUCCCAUGGUGUCUCACUCCGUGAAGAUCAUGGAGCUCAUUGCCAGAACCAUUGUCGAGCCGUAGUUCAUCAGCUAGGGGCAGAGGAGGUCAACACAAUAACCUUUUGUGGCGCCUCCUCUGUCUAGUUGCUCAUGGACCUCGCGAGCAUGGCCAUAGGAAUCAGAGAUGUAAUUGGAUGUACUGGUGCUGCUGCAUCUUAAGAUGGAAGUACUCAUGCCUGAUGGAAGAUAAGAGCAAGCAUGCUGUCAAGCCAAGAACAGCACAUCCUCAUCUACAUCCAUUUGAAUUUGAACGUCUGUAGUGUGAUCCUUCCUAAGAAUCCUAACCCUUCUUAUGGUCUGAUUGGAUUAAAAAAAAUCAUAUGUUCAUGCCUGAUGCAAGUGAAGGUCAGCAUAGGCAUGUUGUUUCGUCACUAGUAUGCCAUUCAAUCACUAGCUAGAUUCUUGAUUCAAGAUAUGUAAAUUCUUUUA